GAUGAACGCUGACAGAAUGCUUAACACAUGCAAGUCGAUGGGGAAGUGGUGCUUGCACCAUGGUAACCAUGGCGGACGGGUGAGUAACGCGUAAGGAACUUGCCUGCGGGACUGGGAUAACAGCAGGAAACUGCUGAUAAUACCGGAUAAGGUCAUUAAGCUGCAUAGCUUAGUGAUGAAAGGAGACGCCUGCGGAGAGCCUUGCGUCCUAUUAGCUAGUUGGAGGGGUAACGGCCCACCAAGGCGAAGAUAGGUAGCCGGCCUGAGGGUGGACGGCCACAAGGGGACUGAGAUACGGCCCUUACUCCUACGGGAGGCAGCAGUGGGGAAUAUUGGACAAUGGGGGCAACCCUGAUCCAGCAAUUCUGUGUGCACGAAGACGGUUUUCGGAUUGUAAAGUGCUUUCAGCAGGGAAGAAGGAAGUGACGGUACCUGCAGAAGAAGCGACGGCUAAAUACGUG
rnacentral:rRNA from 1 species